rnacentral:tRNA from 1 species
AAAGCUUUAGCUUAAUUAAAGUAUCUGAUUUGCAUUCAGGAGAUGUGGGGUAAUGGCCCGCAAGUUUUA